GUGGGAGGGGGUGGGAGCAGUCUCAAGGGGCAGGGAGGUGCCUCUGCCACGGGAAGGAGGAAGGAGAGCUCUCUUCCCCGAGCUGUCUGGGUUCCAGGAAAGGCAAGUGGAUUUCCAUUUGAAGGGGUAACUUGAGGCUUUGGAGCAGCUGAGAAACAGCAGCUUCCCCCUGGAAAAUGGACACAUCUGUGCUACCAAUGCCCAGACCAUGUGGCAUAUGGAGGAAAGAGUUAUACCAAGGGCUCUGGCUGGCAGACAAAUGAGCUCUGAGGGCUGUGCUCAUCCAAACUCCAACAAAUUUUUGAGGGAAGUCUUUUUUUUCCUACUUUUUUUGUGAAACCAAAGCAUUUUGAGAUUGAAUACAAGAAUUUUGAGAUUGAAUUAAUAUUAAAGACUAGAGCUUGAAGCCAGGAUCUGCCCAACUGUUCUGCCUGGGCUCUGGCUGAUUUUUUCAUAUAGCUAAAUAAGAUUUAAACUGCACUUUA